rnacentral:rRNA from 1 species
UACGUAGGGCGCGAGCGUUGUCCGGAAUUAUUGGGCGUAAAGAGCUCGUAGGCGGCUUGUCACGUCGGGUGUGAAAGACCGGGGCUUAACUCCGUUCUGCAUUCGAUACGGGCUAGCUAGAGUGUGGUAGGGGGAGAUCGGAAUUCCUGGUGUAGCGGUGAAAUGCGCAGAUAUCAGGAGGAACACCGGUGGCGAAGGCGGGUCUCUGGGCCGUAACUGACGCUGAGGAGCGAAAGCGUGGGGAGCGAACAGG